ACUCCUACGGGAGGCAGCAGUGGGGAAUAUUGGACAAUGGGCGAAAGCCUGAUGUAGCAACGCCGCGUGCGGGAAGAAGGCCCUAGGGUUGUAAACCGCUUUCAGUAGGGAGGAAAAUGACGGUACCUACAGAAGAAGGUGCGGCCAACUACGUGCCAGCAGCUGCGGUGACACGUAGGCACCAAGCGUUAUCCGGAAUUAUUGGGCGUAAAGAGCUCGUAGGCGGUUUGUCGCGUCUGCUGUGAAAACUGGAGGCUCAACCUCCAGCCUGCAGUGGGUACGGGCAAACUAGAGUGCGGUAGGGGAGAUUGGAAUUUCUGGUGUAGCGGUGGAAUGCGCAGAUAUCAGGAGGAACACCGAUGGCGAAGGCAGAUCUCUGGGCCGUAACUGACGCUGAGGUGCGAAAGCGUGGGGAUCAAACAGGAUUAGAUACCCUGGUAG
rnacentral:rRNA from 1 species